GCCCCUGCACCCAUGUGGGAGACUUGGAAAAACUCCUGGCUCCUGGCUUUGGAUCGGUGCAGCUCUGGUUGUUGCAGCCAAUUGGGGAGUGAACCAUCAAAUGGAAGACCUCUUUACCUCUCUCUGUGUGUAACUCUGACUUUCAAAUAAAUAAAUAAAUCUUUAAAAAAAAAAAAGAAAAAAUGGGAUUUAGUGGAAUGGCCACACCCUCUUGCAUUUGGGAACUUGUAAUCCACAACCAAGAAGUACUGGGGUUUUUAAGAGAAUGACCAAUGCAGAAUUCUCAGGCGAAUUUUGAGAUGGAGCGGAAGGUUAAUAAAACAUGGGGGAAAUUUCUCUGUAAAUCUGUGGUGUCUGUCUACUUUUAGGUUGACGCUUCCUGAAGUGACGGCUGCGGAAUCGUUCAGCGAACACAACACAAACCCAGGGGGAGGAUUUCAGGUUGGGUCUCUCUGCUAGAGGCUACCACCUUCUAAAUAAAGAAGAUCGGUGUUUCCACUGGGGCAGUUUCACAGUCCCUUGAACUGACUCUUGUACUCAUAAAAGGCCCUUCCUUAAGACGUCUGUAGAGUGAACAGAAUAUUGAAACCCCAUCAGAAGAAUAAUCUUUGCUUUUCUCAUGCUAACAGCUUGCUGACUUGCUUUUCUUGGUUCUCGAACGACGCAAUCUGAUAGCACAGCAGCUUCCUGUUAGAGGGUUAAUUAUUUCUUUUUAUGCCUAUGUUUAUGAUGCUUAAAUUUGUGAUUCAUGCUUUGUAAUUAGAUAUAGUGCUCAGAAUAUAUCCGUGAAUAUCACGUUAACUAUUUUUUUUUAAUUUGGAAGGUUGUUAUUUUCCCUUCUGAGCUAUUGCCAGUGGACACAGAUCAUGAGAAUGUGAUGGUAAAUGCAGCUAUCUCAGCACAACCUUAACUUCACCAUUGCCGUGGCCGUGAGUCAGGAGCUCCCCAGCAGUGUCCACGGGCAGGACCCACAUCCCCCAAGAAAACAAAAUGAUGGAGGACCUGCGCUGUGGCGCAGCAGGUUAACGCCCUGGCCUGA
rnacentral:lncRNA from 1 species